rnacentral:rRNA from 1 species
UACAGAGACUGCAAGCGUUAUUCGGAUUCACUGGGCGUAAAGGGUGCGCAGGCGGCCGUGUGUGUCAGGUGUGAAAGCCCGGAGCUUAACUCCGGAAUUGCGCCUGAAACUACAUGGCUAGAGCAUUGGAGAGGGUAGCGGAAUUCACGGUGUAGCAGUGAAAUACGUAGAUAUCGUGAGGAACACCAGAGGCGAAGGCGGCUACCUGGACAAUUGCUGACGCUCAGGCACGAAAGCGUGGGGAGCAAACGGG